rnacentral:rRNA from 1 species
UGGGGAAUUUUGGACAAUUGGGCGAAAGCCUGAUCCAGCAAUGCCGCGUGUGUGAAGAAGGCCUUCGGGUUGUAAAGCACUUUUGUCCGGAAAGAAAUCCUUGGCUCUAAUACAGUCGGGGGAUGACGGUACCGGAAGAAUAAGCACCGGCUAACUACGUGCCAGCAGCCGCGGUAAUACGUAGGGUGCAAGCGUUAAUCGGAAUUACUGGGCGUAAAGCGUGCGCAGGCGGUUCGGAAAGAAAGGUGUGAAAUCCCAGGGCUUAACCUUGGGAACUGCACUUUUUAACUACCGAGCUAGAGUACGUCAGAGGGGGGUAGAAUUCCACGUGUAGCAGUGAAAUGCGCAGAGAUGUGGAGGAAUACCGAUGGCGAAGGCAGCCCCCUGGGCCAAUACUGACGCUCAUGCACGAAAGCGUGGGGAGCAAACAGGAUUAGAUACCCCUGGUAGUCCACGCCCUAAACGAUGUCAACUAGUUGUUGGGGAUUCAUUUCCUUAGUAACGUAGCUAACGCGUGAAGUUGACCGCCUGGGGAGUACGGUCGCAAGAUUAAAACUCAAAUGGAAUUGACGGGGUCAUAGCUGUUUCCU